rnacentral:rRNA from 1 species
AUGCGAAUUGCAAGACCUCGUGAAUCAUCAAGAUUUUGAACGCACAUUGCGCUUUCGGGUAUUCCCGGUAGCAUGCUUGUCUGAGUGUCUGUGGAU